rnacentral:rRNA from 1 species
CAGAUGAUGCCUAUCAACUGUUUAAAAGAAUGGUUCUGCUAUCACUCUUGGGAUGGACCCUGCGGUGCAUUAGCUAGUUGGUAAGGGUAACGGCCUACCAAGGCGAUGAUGCAUAGCCGAGUUGAGAGACUGAUCGGCCACAUUGGGACUGAGACACGGCCCAAAACUCCUACGGGGAGGCAGCAGUAGGGAAAUCUUCCACAAUGGACGCAAGUCUGAUGGAGCAACGCCGCGUGAGUGAAGUAAGGGUUUCGGCUCGUAAAGCUCUGUUGUUGGUGAAGAAGGACAGGGGUAGUAACUGACCUUUGUUUGACGGUAAUCAAUUAGAAAGUCACGGCUAACUACGUGCCAGCAGCCGCGGGUAAU